AACGAACGCUGGCGGCAUGCCUAACACAUGCAAGUCGAACGAAGGCUUCGGCCUUAGUGGCGCACGGGUGCGUAACGCGUGGGAAUCUGCCCCUCGGUUCGGAAUAACAGUUAGAAAUGACUGCUAAUACCGGAUGAUGACUUCGGUCCAAAGAUUUAUCGCCGAGGGAUGAGCCCGCGUAAGAUUAGGUAGUUGGUGGGGUAAAGGCCUACCAAGCCGACGAUCUUUAGCUGGUCCGAGAGGAUGAUCAGCCACACUGGGACUGAGACACGGCCCAGACUCCCACGGGAGGCAGCAGUGGGGAAUAUUGGACAAUGGGCGAAAGCCUGAUCCAGCAAUGCCGCGUGAGUGAUGAAGGCCUUAGGGUUGUAAAGCUCUUUUACCAGGGAUGAUAAUGACAGUACCUGGAGAAUAAGCUCCGGCUAACUCCGUGCCAGCAGCCGCCGUAAGAC
rnacentral:rRNA from 1 species